GACGGAGGGUGCUAGCGUUGUUCGGAAUGACUGGGCGUAAAGGGCGCGUAGGCGGCCUUGUGCGUCAGGUGUGAAAGCCCGGGGCUCAACCCCGGAGCGGCACCUGAUACGGCGGGGCUCGAGACCGGGAGAGGAGGGUGGAAUACCCAGUGUAGAGGUGAAAUUCGUAGAUAUUGGGUGGAACACCGGUGGCGAAAGCGGCUCUCUGGCCCGGUUCUGACGCUGAGGCGCGAAAGCGUGGGGAGCAAAC
rnacentral:rRNA from 1 species